AUGAGGCUCUGGGAUCCCAUUCAGGCUAUUUCCCCAAAAUAAGAACCAAAAAGAAAGACGUGUACAAGAAGAAAGAGUGCCACAUAGAAGGGAAAAGGAGUCUGGCUGAGCUGCAAAGGGAGCCUUUGUAGCUGGAGAAAAAGGCAACAUGCUCCAGCCAGUUGAAAGUCAUCAGCAGUGAAACUGUUCUAUUGGAGAAGGCAGGAAAUGAGAAGAAGGAAAAUAUCUGAAGCGGAGAUUCCCAGGAGUUUUCCCACAGUUGUGUUCCUUUCUCUGCUGGACACAGCUGUAGACUACAUCACCCAGCUCUCUUGCAGCUCAGCCUUGGGUGGCAGUGCCACAGAACCCAGCCAGUCUCCCCGGAGAGGGCCUCACCCAGUAAGUGCAGCCCAGUCCGAAGAUUUCCUUAGUCCAAAGAUGGCCAAAGAAUCCAGGUACCAAGACUCUGCCCGCUUUCUACUCUCAUCCUUCCGGAACUCCCAGGGCACCAGUCUACAUGGCGUGGGGUAAGAGUUUACAAAGCCCAGGAAAUGAGUUACACAAACGUACAUCUCCAGAGUUUUACAGGGCUCACUGCAAUAGUCCAGACUCUGCCAUAUGAGAACAUGCCACACACCCAGCCACACACCCCAAAAAGGAAAAUGCUAACAACAGUGUAGCCAGCUUCCAAAACAAAUAAACUAAA